rnacentral:rRNA from 2 species
UGGGGAAUAUUGCACAAUGGGCGCAAGCCUGGUGCAGCGACGCCGCGUGGGGGAUGACGGCCUUCGGGUUGUAAACUCCUUUCGUCAGGGACGAAGCGACAGUGACGGUACCUGGAUAAGAAGCACCGGCUAACUACGUGCCAGCAGCCGCGGUAAUACGUAGGGUGCGAGCGUUGUCCGGAAUUACUGGGCGUAAAGAGCCCGUAGGUGGUUUGUCGCGUCGUUUGUGGAAUACCGCAGCUUAACUGCGGGGUUGCAGGCGAUACGGGCAUAACUUGAGUGCUGUAGGGGAGACUGGAAUUCCUGGUGUAGCGGUGGAAUGCGCAGAUAUCAGGAGGAACACCGAUGGCGAAGGCAGGUCUCUGGGCAGUAACUGACGCUGAGGAGCGAAAGCAUGGGUAGCGAACAGG